rnacentral:sRNA from 1 species
CGGGGGCACACCCAGCGGCCACAGCCCCGCAGCAAACCACCGGCCUCCAGGUCACACGUGGGCCCUGCAGUGCCUGUCGGGGAGCCCCCUGGGCCAGGGCGAUGCGAGCCUGACCCCCACAGAGGCCAAGGCGGCUGAGGACAGGAGGGGCCCGGGUGCGGGAGGCCGGGGCGGGAGCUCGGGCAGACACAGGGAGGGGUUCCCAUCCGCCUGCCUUGUAAACCUGAAAGUUGCACUGAUGAGAAACCCUUUUCUUCCCCGAACGUGAGACUUCCAGCGCCCUGUUAGCGGCAGCCUCAGGCCUAAGCCGUCUCUAACCUUUCCGCAGGCAUCGACUACAAGACGACCACCAUCCUGCUGGACGGGCGGCGGGUGAAGCUGCAGCUCUGGGAUACUUCGGGCCAGGGAAGAUUUUGUACCAUAUUCCGCUCCUACUCCCGGGGUGCACAGGGUGUGAUCCUGGUCUAUGACAUUGCGAACCGCUGGUCUUUCGACGGCAUUGAUCGAUGGAUUAAGGAGAUCGAUGAGCAUGCCCCCGGAGUCCCCAAGAUCCUGGUGGGGAACCGCCUGCACCUGGCGUUCAAGCGGCAGGUGCCCACGGAGCAGGCCCAGGCCUACGCCGAGCGCCUGGGCGUGACCUUCUUUGAGGUCAGCCCUCUGUGCAAUUUCAACAUCACGGAGUCGUUCACGGAGCUGGCCAGGAUCGUGCUGCUGCGGCAUGGGAUGGACCGGCUCUGGCGGCCGAGCAAGGUGCUGAGCUUGCAAGACCUCUGCUGCCGGGCGGUCGUGUCCUGCACGCCGGUGCACCUGGUGGACAAGCUCCCGCUCCCCAUUGCCUUAAGAAGCCACCUCAAGUCCUUCUCGAUGGCCAACGGCCUGAACGCCAGGAUGAUGCACGGCCGUUCCUACUCCCUCACCACCAGCUCCACCCACAAAAGGAGCAGCCUCCGUAAAGUGAAGCUCGUCCGCCCCCCCCAGAGCCCCCCCAAAAACUGCACCAGAAACAGCUGCAAAAUUUCUUAAGGAAGGCACUGAAAGAAACAGGGUGGAAUCUCUCCAGGAGAAACUCGGCGUUACCCCUGGCAGCUGGCGG